AAACUAUGCAUGGGACAUUAGCGUAAAAUCUCCCUAUAUUGCUCUCAAGCCUCAUACAUAGAUUCAUCAUUUUCCUGUUGAAAAGAAGUAAUACCAUUACACAAUUU